AGGACGAACGCUGGCGGCGUGCUUAACACAUGCAAGUCACGGGGGCUCGCAAGAGCAACCGGCGAACGGGUGCGUAACACGUGAGCAACCUGCCGAUCUGAGGGGGAUAGCCGGCCCAACGGCCGGGUAAUACCGCAUACGUUUUCCGAGGGACAUCCUUUGGGAAAGAAACCUCCGGGGCAGAUCGAGGGGCUCGCGGCCUAUCAGCUAGUUGGUGAGGUAACGGCUCACCAAGGCGACGACGGGUAGCUGGU
rnacentral:rRNA from 1 species